ACAGCCACAUCAUGUUGAAAUACCAGUUCCUGUACAUUCACCAAAGUUAAGCAACACUGAGCCUGGUCAGUACUUAGAUGAGUGACUAUUUGGGAAUACUAGUUAUUGUA